rfam:Mycobacterium sp. JDM601, complete genome.
CGCGGCAUGCAAGAAUGUCGCCGGUAAGGCGAUGGCAACACAGUGAGGAAGCCGGUGUGAAUCCGGCGCGGUCCCGCCACUGUCAUCGGGGAGUGACCCUCAUCGGCCACGGUCCGCACGUGUGGGGCUGGAAGGCGAGGCGAGCAGUGAUCCGAGAGCCAGGAGACUCACGUCAUCGCGUCCUGCGAA